GAAUAGAAAAAUAAACACCAACUUCUGGCUCGAGGGGGUUGACUACGGAUUAUCUCCUUAUUUCUCCAGUGUUUGGGAAGUGAAACAAUGCCUUACAUCGCCAACCAGGUCUUACUAUUAAAAGCAUAGUCAGCAAAUUUAGUUAUUUUAUUUCAUUCUCCUCAUAAGUUUGUUAAUAGGUGAGAAGUGAAAAUAAAAGGUUUGAUUGAUUUUUAUUUUUAUUUUCA
rnacentral:lncRNA from 1 species